CCACCUCCCGCUGCUCCGCCGUGGAAAGUUAGCUCUUAGGCCAGGAGCGGCUGUUAGCUUUGAAGCGCAGCAUGUCGUUUAUGCAGGACAUGGAUUUUUCUCAGCAGGCAGCUCUUUUGGGCAAUGAAGAUACAGCUGUUGAGGAACCUGUCCCUGAAGUUGUACCAGUACAAGUAGAAACUGCCAAGAAAUCCAAAAAGCCGAGUAGAGAAGUUAUCAGAGGAGGAGACCCACCCGGUGGACUUGAGCUCGCUCUCCAGUAAGCUACUCCCAGGCUUCACCACGCUGGGCUUCAAAGACGAGAGAAGAAACAAAGUCACCUUUCUCUCCAGUGCCACUACUGCGCUUUCGAUGCAGAAUAAUUCAGUAUUUGGCGACUUGAAGUCGGACGAGAUGGAGCUGCUCUACUCAGCCUACGGAGAUGAGACAGGCGUGCAGUGUGCGCUGAG
rnacentral:lncRNA from 1 species